rnacentral:rRNA from 1 species
AGAGUUUGAUCCGUGGCGUCAGGACGAACGCUGGCGGCGUGCUUAACACAUGCAAGUCGACGGAAAGGCCCUGCUUUUGUGGGGUGCUCGAGUGGCGAACGGGUGAGUAACACGUGAGUAACCUGCCCUUGACUUUGGGAUAACUUCAGGAAACUGGGGCUAAUACCGGAUAGGAGCUCCUGCUGCAUGGUGGGGGUUGGAAAGUUUCGGCGGUUGGGGAUGGACUCGCGGCUUAUCAGCUUGUUGGUGGGGGUAGUGGCUUACCAAGGCUUUGACGGGUAGCCGGCCUGAGAGGGUGACCGGCCACAUUGGGACUGAGAUACGGCCCAGACUCUUACGGGAGGCAGCAGUGGGGAAUAUUGCACAAUGGGCGGAAGCCUGAUGCAGCAACGCCGCGUGCGGGAUGACGGCCUUCGGGUUGUAAACCGCUUUCGCCUGUGACGAAGCGUGAGUGACGGUAAUGGGUAAAGAAGCACCGGCUAACUACGUG